AACGAACGCUGGCGGCAGGCCUAACACAUGCAAGUCGAACGCACCGCAAGGUGAGUGGCGCACGGGUGAGUAACACGUGGGAAUGUACCCUUUGGUUCGGAAUAACGUCUGGAAACGGACGCUAAUACCGGAUGAGCCCUGCGGGGGAAAGAUUUAUCGCCAAAGGAGCAGCCCGCGUCUGAUUAGCUAGUUGGUGGGGUAAAGGCCUACCAAGGCGACGAUCAGUAGCUGGUCUGAGAGGAUGAUCAGCCACACUGGGACUGAGACACGGCCCAGACUCCUACGGGAGGCAGCAGUGGGGAAUAUUGGACAAUGGGCGCAAGCUUGAUCCAGCAAUGCCGCGUGGGUGAAGAAGGUCUUCGGAUCGUAAAGCCCUUUCGACAGGGACGAUGAUGACGGUACCUGUAGAAGAAGCCCCGGCUAACUUCGUGCCAGCCGCCGCAGUAAUAC
rnacentral:rRNA from 1 species